rnacentral:rRNA from 1 species
CACGUGUGCUGCGUGGCUGUCCUCCUCUCGUGUCAUGGGAUUUUGGUUUAUCUCCCACAACGAGCACCCCUCUUGUUUUUUUUUCCUCUUCAAAAUCACUCCCCGGAAACUGCCGGUGACGAUCCGGAGGAGGGUGGGGAUGAUGUCAUCUCCUCAUGGCCCUCCUUAUGCGGGGUUCGACACUCAUGCUUGGUGGGAACAGAGGGUGGUCAACCAUCCCAGGGGGAUGAAUCCCCCAAAAAACCCCUCCUUCCGGAUUGCACUCUGCAACUCCUCUGCUGGAUGCUGGAAUCGCUACUA